rnacentral:rRNA from 1 species
GAGUUUGAUCGUGGCUCAGAACGAACGCUGGCGGCAUGCCUAACACAUGCAAGUCGAACGGGAUCCUGGCUUCGGCCAGGUGAGAGUGGCGGACGGGUGAGUAACGCGUGGGAACCUGCCCAGAGGUACGGAAUAACAGUUGGAAACGACUGCUAAUACCGUAUGAGCCCGAGAGGGGAAAGAUUUAUCGCCUUUGGAGGGGCCCGCGUCAGAUUAGGUAGUUGGUGGGGUAAAGGCCUACCAAGCCUACGAUCUGUAGCUGGUCUGAGAGGAUGAUCAGCCACACUGGGACUGAGAUACGGCCCAGACUCCUACGGGAGGCAGCAGUGGGGAAUAUUGGACAAUGGGGGCAACCCUGAUCCAGCAAUGCCGCGUGAGUGAUGAAGGCCUUAGGGUUGUAAAGCUCUUUUGCCAGGGACGAUGAUGACGGUACCUGGAGAAUAAGCCCCGGCUAACUUCGUGCCAGCCGCCGCCGU